rnacentral:lncRNA from 1 species
AUGUUCUCUGCCCCAGACUGGCAGGGUCUCAGUCUGGCCUUGAAGUCAUAUGGAGCCCAGGUCGGCCUUGAACUCACAGCAAUCCUCCUGCCUCAGCCUCCUGAGUGGUGGGAUCACAGAGCCCUGCGUCUUUGCAGGUGUGCAGUAAACACUGUUGACCGAAUUACAUCUUCCGGCUGCUCCAACCCAGCCACGACUUCCUGCUCGCAUGGGAAAUCCAACCCGCAAUGAUCACACUGAAGAUUUACUGCACACUUUAAACCAGGCACUGUGCUUAGAAAAGCAUCUUGUGUGCAUCUUUUAGUUUCAUUAAAACAUUUUUUAAAAUUGUGGCUAAACACUUUUUUUUUUUUUUUUGAGAUAGCAUCUCACUGUGUAACUCAGGCUGGCCUUGAACUCACUAUUGAACCCAGGCUGUUCUCAAACUCAAGAUGACCCUCCUGCCUCAGCCUCCCGAGUUCUGGGAUCACAGGUGUCUGCCACCAUGCCUGGCUGCAUUCUCAAUUCUUGAAGAACAGCGUCAGGGUAUGUGUGCUGCAAUGGUUGCUCAUUGCAAUGUCAUCAGAGCUGCCACAUAUGGAAGGCGACUGUGCCUGACUCUGUUCCGAGCCUUUUAUAUGAAUCAUCUCGUGUAAUCCUCACAUUCAGCCCUUGGAAGUCAGUGCUAUAAUUAUCCCAGGUUACAGAUGUGGAAACAGAGCCACAGGAAGUUAGGAGCAUGGCUCUGGAGGGCCUGAGCCAGGAUUCAGACCAGGCAUGGGCUGCAGAACCUGCAGUGGACAGUGGAUACAGUCAGUGUGCCCCACCCCCUUGCAGCCUUUCUAUGCCAGCUGGCCCGAUAGUGGCUCACAAUUUCUGCUCUGUGCUGGCACACAGAGUGACA